CCCGAAGAAGCGCGAGAUCAUGAGAUCACGAUGCGGAGCUGAAAUCGAAAGUCCCACGCUUAACUGCCUGAGCUACCCGGGCGGCCCUCUACCAGCUGCCUUUUUUCUUUCUUUCUUUUUUUUUUUUUUUUUUAGCAGCCGGGCUCUCCUGUUCUCCGUGGAAGGGGGAAUUUAUUUCAUUAUGGGGAGUUCUGGAGGGUGUGGGAGGCCAAGCUGGAGUGGGCUUUAAGGCUCUUUCCAGCUGUUCAAAGGCAGGAACUUGGGGCCUCUUUGGAAUCUAUAUCUGAGCUAAACAAGAUGGCGCACAGAGAAGCCUUCAGUAGGGCAAGAAAGUGGGACCGGAUGAACUCUGAGGACCACGCGAGACUCAUGAUGACCAUAAAGGUCUGUAGCGAGGCGGCCCCGAGAGCAAGGUCUCCCUGCUCCCCUUGUUGUACCGCAGGCGAAAGCGGAAAUUGGAAGGCAAGCCCUGUGAUGGCGAGGACUUGAAAAUUGCUUCUAAUUUCCAAGUGUGUGGCAGAGAGAGGGACAGCCUGCCAAGGACACGGCCUAAGUCACCCUCCUUGUAAUGAGAGAAGAGGAGGAAGAGCGGUGAUUAAAUGUGCUUGAUAAAACUUCUCUAUUUCGUGUUUGGAAUAAAAAAGGGAAGGUUGAGAUAAAGCAGUGCUUGUUUGGUGUUGUUCAUGACACGGCUGAGCCGAGCCGGGCAGGGCCAGUGUCUCUAAUCCUCCCCUGGUGAGCACAGAGGUGGGGCAGCUGGCACCCAGCUGGGCCGUGGGACAGAGAUUGGAAGGGCCUUUGCCACCAGUGGGAGGGUGGCAGUGGUGUCACAGAGGAGAAGACAGAGCCAAGACGUGAGGGCAGAGCGGGAGGUUUAUCAGGUGGGGAGGCCGUUCCGGGCAAUGAACGGCAUGUGCAGGGUGUGGGGCCCCCUGGCUGGAGCUCCAUGCUGAGUAGGGGGGAACGUUCUGCCUCAGUUCUCCUCGGCCGGAUCCUGCCUCCAGAAGGCCGAGUCCCACCCUGUGCUCAGCACAGCGCUGGCCACUGUGGGGGAACCAGUGGACUGUUUGUUGUCCUGCUGGCGUGUCUUCCCCUGGGGGCCUGUUGACGCCCUGUAUGUGUCUGUCCGGGUGGCACGUGACAUCUUCUGGAGCUGUGCAACGCCUCAUUGAGUGGAUGUAUGAUAACGUCAUAAUUUACUUAGCCAGGCCCUAUUGAUGAACAUUUGGCCGUUUCCCAUCUUUUUCUGCUGUAACAAUUAUGCCGCGGUGAAUAACCAUGUCAGUACAGUGUUUGCAAGUCCGUGUGUAGGGAGGGAAGACAAAUACAAGAAACCACUUGGAAGACCAUGAGGAACAGCAUCAUUUCAGUGCAGUUGGUCCCAGGGCAGUACCAUCUGAUAAGGUCGAAAACCACAGUGGGGGGGCCCAAGUCUUUGCAGGCAAGAGAGCAGAGCCACCUUAGAAAUGCGGGUGAUUUGCUGCAGGACAUGCAGCUGAAUUAGAGAAAUGUUUUGCAUAGAGUUUCAGGAUUACAGGCCUUUUCUCUGGUCACCUUGCCUUCCUGGGAAUUUCUUCUGGCAUAUAAUGAAGAUAGAAUGGUUGAGGCAUGGGGGUAUGUGUGUGCAAAUGAAGGCUUUUUUCCUUUCAAUUAUUUCAGGGAAGGCACAAAGGAACUGGUAAAUAAAACGUGGGAAAUUGAUGGCAACGUUUUUCACCUUGCAUAAUUAUUAUUACCAUUAAUCAAGAUAACACUUUCCUGGGUGCUGACAGUGUGGCUAGCAUAAUGCCAAACAAGGAUGUGGAUGCAGUCUCCAUAAAAACCAAAAGGCAGUAAUCUACAAAGCAGCAGGAGAAGACAGAUCACCUACAUAAGGAAAGGCAAGUUGCCUCCUGGUUUCAUUUUGUUUCUUUUUAGGACCUUCUGACAACUGAGAGGUUUGUGCCCUAAUUGCAAGGACCCCCAGCUUCUAUACUUGGAAUGAUGUUCAUCCAUUAAAAACACAAUGUUGUGGUCAGAAAUCAAUCCAGAUGUACUCAUAUUCUUUCUAUUUGUACCAUCUCCCUUUUCAAUCAGGAAUAAAAAACAGUAGUCAUGCUUUGCAAAACUUUCAUUAUAGGAACUGGGAAGAAAAGUAAUAAAGAAAGGAUGCUCUCAAGAGAAAAACUUGGAAGAGAGCAUAAUAUAUCAACCAAAUAGAAGGAGGAAUUGCAUGAAACUGCCUUCUAGCUUACGACUGUAUCAGACAUGAAGCAAAAAGAAUAAGCCAGGUUGAUUAAAACAACUUAUCACCUUAAAAAAAUUCAAGAUGAUGAAGCCUGGGCACAUAAAUUAUGCUUUUGCCAAUCCAGCUAGGGGAGCAUGGUGACAAGCUUGCUUGGCUAGAAUUCUCCAGGAUAUCGCUAUAAUCUUUAUAUGCCUCUCUUAUCUCUUGCCUUCUUUUUGCAGUUGGUGUUUGUUUACUUCACUAAAGUGAGAGCCCCCCCCCUUUUUUUUAACCUUCUUUAUUCUAUUAUUUCCAUCCCUGAAAGCUGAGCUUGAAAGUGGGCCUCCUGGGCUCAGCCUAAUAAUUAAGCCAUAGAAACCUCUCUGUUGCUGGUCUUACUACAUGAAACCUUAACCAUUGGACACUUUUAUAGUAGUCAUUGGUCAUUCAGUUGUCAACUAUUGUGUGAGUUGAAUUUAAAUUUAUAAACAUCCUUGGGCACUUCUGAAGUGUCGGGCAUUAGGGAUGCUGUGAUAAAAGAAGAAGUGAUUCCUGCCUUCAACUUUCUUAUCAUUGAAUGGGAAGAACAUUAGGCAAAUGACAGAAGGAGUUUACACAAGGUGCCUAUUGCUAUGUUAGGUACAUGAUAGGCACCCAUGUAUCUUGGGGGCACCUGCUCUCUUUCUAAUGUAAAUGUCCUAGAGAGUAGUAGGAGCCAUUACAGAGGGGUAGGACAGGACCACAUGGAGCAAGGAGGGGAGUGGUCAACUCUUUUGGGGUAACUAUGGGAUGGCUUUACUUAUGAGGUUAGCCUGAACCAAGAGGGAAUUUAACAGGUAGGCAAAGUGAAGAAAGGCAGGCAGAGAGGAACAACAAAGGCAUGUGGGAGAAAGCAGUGUCCCAUAUUGGGAGGUGGCAAGAGGUUUGACUGGAGGUGGGACUGGUGUGCAGAAUGUGAGGGGAUAGGAGCUGGCAAGAAUUAGCCUGGAAAGGAAGGCAGGGGCCAGAUGAGAAAAGGUAGGUCCUACAAGUGAAGGAACUGGGAACUUAUCUUCUGGAUUGUUGGCAGCUUUUGAGCAAGUCAGGGACUGGGUCAAAUCUGUAUACCUGCUUAAUUUUUUUCAUUAUGACGUUGCAAAUGAAGAUGAGUUACCACCAGCACAGCACAUUGGCUGGUGGGAAUGAGUUUAAAAUGAAUCUUCUUUUUCUCCCUACUUCCUUAGGGACCAGUCACAUGUGCUGUGAG